rnacentral:rRNA from 1 species
CCUACGGGUGGCAGCAGUGAGGAAUAUUGGUCAAUGGACGAAAGUCUGAACCAGCCACGCCGCGUGCAGGAUGACGGUUUUAUGAGUUGUAAACUGUUUUUGUAGUAGGGUAAACACCCCUACGUGUAGGGGCUGGAAAGUAUAAUACGAAUAAGGAACGGCUAAAUCCGCGCCAGCAGCCGCGGUAAUACGGAGGAUCCAAGCGUUAUCCGGAUUUAUUGGGUUGAAAGGGUGCGUAGGCGGUUUGAUAAGUUAGAGGUGAAAUACCGGUGCUCAACACCGGAACUGCCUCUAAUACUGUUGAACUAGAGAGUAGUAGCGGUAGGCGGAAUGUAUGGUGUAGCGGUGAAAUGCGUAGAGAUCAUACAGAACACCGAUUGCGAAGGCAGCUUACCAAACUAUAUCUGACGUUGAGGCACGAAAGCGUGGGUAGCAAACAGGAUUAGAUACCCCAGUAGUC